rnacentral:lncRNA from 1 species
UUUUUUUUUUUUUUUUUUUUGAGACAGGGUCUUGCUCUGUCACCCAGGCUGGAGUGCAGUGGUGCCAUCUAGGCUCACUGCAGCCUCUGCCUCCUGGCUGAAGUGAUCCUCCCACCUCAGCCUCCCUAGUAGCUGAGACUACAGGUGUGGACUACAAUGCCUGGCCAAUUUUUUGUAUUUUUUUUAAUAGAGACCAGGUUUUGCCAUGUUGCCCAGGCUGGUCUCAAACUCCUUAGCUCAAGCGAAUCCACUCACCUCAGCCUCCCAAAGUGUUAGGAUUAUAGCCAUGAGCCACUGUGCCUGGCCUACCUUCACUUUUUCCAAGUUGUCUCUUCUGCUGCUAUACCUGUGGAACACACAGACCCUUCAUUGGGGAGGGUAAUUAUUUUUAGUUGCAGAGGAAGCCAGAAACCUUUGAUGGCUCAAAGAAGUGUCUCAUCAUCAUAACACAUAGUAAGCCUCAGUAAAUACUUGAUGAAUACUUGAGCAACCUGGCUUCAUUUUUAAAUUAUU